rnacentral:lncRNA from 1 species
GCGCAGGCGCCCAGAGGCGCACAGGAGACCUCAGGCCCAGACUCCACUCCCCAGCUGUGAAAGGACUGCUGGCCAGACCCCCAAGCUAGCCCGCCAGGCCUCCAUAGAGCUGCCCAGCAUGGCUGCAUCCAGUACCAAGAGUUGGUGGGAGACGGGUGAGGUAUAGGCUCAGUCUGCGGCCAAGACUCCGUCCUGCAAG